rnacentral:rRNA from 1 species
AAGAUUAAAACUCAAAUGAAUUGACGGGGGCCCGCACAAGCGGUGGAGCAUGUGGUUUAAUUCGAUGCAACGCGAAGAACCUUACCUACUCUUGACAUCCAGAGAACUUUCCAGAGAUGGAUUGGUGCCUUCGGGAACUCUGAGACAGGUGCUGCAUGGCUGUCGUCAGCUCGUGUUGUGAAAUGUUGGGUUAAGUCCCGCAACGAGCGCAACCCUUAUCCUUGUUUGCCAGCGAGUAAUGUCGGGAACUCCAGGGAGACUGCCGGUGAUAAACCGGAGGAAGGUGGGGACGACGUCAAGUCAUCAUGGCCCUUACGAGUAGGGCUACACACGUGCUACAAUGGCGCAUACAGAGGGCGGCCAACUUGCGAAAGUGAGCGAAUCCCAAAAAGUGCGUCGUAGUCCGGAUUGGAGUCUGCAACUCGACUCCAUGAAGUCGGAAUCGCUAGUAAUCGUGGAUCAGAAUGCCACGGUGAAUACGUUCCCGGGCCUUGUACACACCGCCCGUCACACCAUGGGAGUGGGCUGCAAAAGAAGUAGGUAGUUUAACCUUCGGGGGGACGCUUACCACUUUGUGGUUCAUGACUGGGGUGAAGUCGUAACAAGGUAGCGCUAGGGGAACCUGGCGCUGGAUCACCUCCUUAAACGAUGAU